AGCUUAUGACUGUUAGACACAAUUUAAUUGGAAUAUGUGUUAUGGAUUAUGGCUAGGUGGUGAGCCAUUGGAUACCGAUAAAGGACUGUACCCGCGGACUGAAAAUAGGUGUGUUUCUACUCUUUAUACUGGUUUCGAUCGGCAUUCGGGAUAAUGAGUACCUAUCAGGACGUUGAGGCGGUUGUCACUGGCCCGAUGGGAGUUCCGAGUCGUGACAAAAAGGAUGUUUAAUUUGUGAUGGAAACGCAUUUAAGGUGUAGACUUCCACUGCACAUAUUUGGUAUUUCAAGCAUAUCUUUCACUAAAAAAGUCUAAUUGAUGUGAUUCUUGAACCAAUGGAAAGAUAAGAUAGCUAUAACUUUUAUAUCUACCACUUUGCCCAGUUCAACCUCAAAGUUGGAGAAAAUAGCAUCAAAAUUUUGGAACACUGCAGUAGAGCCUAAAAACCAGGUCAGAAGUCUCGAUGUCGUGGCCACCAUGGGACCAGUGCUGUGGCACUCUGAUGUCCAACAACAUUGCAAGGGCUUCCAAGAUGCUUGGCACCGUAACCACCACUAGCUAGCGCCAUGGCGCCAAAGAGAAAAAUAAAAAAAAUAUAUAAAGAGGUUUAAAUGGGGGAAAGACUUCUUGUGCACUUGGAAUUUUAUUUUGACACAAUCAUGAGCCUAUUUAAGCAUUUUUUCAGUGCACUUAUGAAAUAUGAAAAAAAGCAACAAUUAAGCUAGGUUUUUCUGAAGAAAAGGGGGCAUUGAAGUUAGCAAGAAAGCAAGGAAAAUUGCAUAUUGAAGGCUUGAUAAAUAUUAGAGUUUUUUCUUUUUUUGUUACCUUUGUACUUUCUUAUUUAGAUUUGAUGGUUAAAUUUUUUUUUCGGAUGAUGUUUUUAGGAGUUAUCUUGAACUAAUUUUUUGAUCUAGAAUUGCAAUUAAACUGUAGUCUGAAUUUUUAAUAUU
rnacentral:sRNA from 1 species